AUACGGAGGGUGCAAGCGUUGUCCGGAUUUAUUGGGUUUAAAGGGUGUGUAGGCGGCGAUACAAGUCAGUGGUGAAAGCCUGCGGCUCAACCGUAGAACUGCCAUUGAUACUGACACACUUGAGUAUGGACGAGGUAGGCGGAAUUUAUGGUGUAGCGGUGAAAUGCAUAGAUACCCUAAAGAACACCGAUAGCGAAGGCAGCUUACUAGGCCAUAACUGACGCUGAGGCACGAAAGCGUGGGGAGCGAACAGGAUUAGAAACCCCAGUAGUCC
rnacentral:rRNA from 1 species